UCCAACCAACCCGCGCGCACGCAACCGACCCAAAGUACUACCUAGCCAACGCUCCCACGACGAGUCGACGACGAUCUCUCUCGAUCCAUCACGCCCGAAAAGAAUAUAAAUAAAAACAAAAAUAAACUAAUAUAAUAAUUAGAAAAGGCAGGAGAAAAAAAGAGAGGAAAAAAAAGAUCAGCGAGAGCGAGCGAGAGAGAGACGCGGACACGAGACGAGAGAAAUAUCCUCCUCUUCCGCGACGGCGACGACGACGAGCGUGGGUUCCCUCCACCGCCGCCUCCGCCACCGCCUCGCCGCGUGCCUCCNNN
rnacentral:lncRNA from 1 species